rnacentral:rRNA from 1 species
GUGGGGAAUAUUGGGCAAUGGGCGCAAGCCUGACCCAGCAACGCCGCGUGAAGGAAGAAGGCUUUCGGGUUGUAAACUUCUUUUACCAGGGACGAAACAAAUGACGGUACCUGGUGAAUAAGCCACGGCUAACUACGUGCCAGCAGCCGCGGUAAUACGUAGGUGGCGAGCGUUAUCCGGAUUUAUUGGGUGUAAAGGGCGUGUAGGCGGGACAGCAAGUCAGAUGUGAAAACCAGAGGCUCAACCUCUGGCCUGCAUUUGAAACUGUUGUUCUUGAGUGUCGGAGAGGUAAUCGGAAUUCCGUGUGUAGCGGUGAAAUGCGUAGAUAUACGGAGGAACACCAGUUGCGAAGGCGGAUUACUGGACGAUAACUGACGCUGAGGCGCGAAAGCGUGGGGAGCAAACAGGAUUAGAAACCCCGGUAGUCC